rnacentral:piRNA from 1 species
UGGUUCUGUGGCAAGGGAUUUGCAUC